rnacentral:rRNA from 1 species
CCUACGGGAGGCAGCAGUGGGGAAUAUUGGACAAUGGGGGCAACCCUGAUCCAGCCAUGCCGCGUGAGUGAUGAAGGCCUUCGGGUUGUAAAGCUCUUUUGGCGGGGACGACGUACCCGCAGAAUAAGCCCCGGCUAACUUCGUGCCAGCAGCCGCGGUAAGACGAAGGGGGCUAGCGUUGUUCGGAAUUACUGGGCGUAAAGCGCGUGUAGGCGGUUUGCCAAGUCAGGUGUGAAAGCCUUGGGCUUAACCCAAGAAAUGCACUUGGUACUGGCAGACUAGAGGACCGGAGAGGAUAGUGGAAUUCCCAGUGUAGUGGUGAAAUACGUAGAGAUUGGGAAGAACACCAGUGGCGAAGGCGGCUAUCUGGACGGUUCUGACGCUAAGACGCGAAAGCGUGGGGAGCAAACAGGAUUAGAUACCCUUGUAGUC